AAUGAACGCUGGCGGCAGGCUUAACACAUGCAAGUCGAGCGGGGUGAUGGUGCUUGCACUAUCACUUAGUGGCGGACGGGUGAGUAAUGCUUAGGAAUCUGCCUAUUAGUGGGGGACAACAUCUCGAAAGGGAUGCUAAUACCGCAUACGUCCUACGGGAGAAAGCAGGGGAUCACUUGUGACCUUGCCCUAAUAGAUGAGCCUAAGUCGGAUUAGCUAGUUGGCGGGGUAACGGCCCACCAAGGCAACGAUGGGUAGCCGGCCUGAGAGGGUGUCCGGCCACAUUGGGACUGAGAUACGGCCCAGACUCCUACGGGAGGCAGCAGUAGGGAAUUUUGCGCAAUGGGGGAAACCCUGACGCAGCAACGCCAUGUGUGGGAUGAAGCAUUUCGGUGUGUAAACCACUGUCGGCAGGGAAUAAAGCCCACAUUUAUGUGGGGGUGAAUGUACCUGCAGAGGAAGCCCCGGCUAACUUCGUGCCAGCAGCCGCCGUAA
rnacentral:rRNA from 1 species